rnacentral:rRNA from 1 species
CCCUUGUACACACCGCCCGUCACACCAUGGGAGUUGGUUUACCUGAAGGCGGUGCGCUAACCCGCAAGGGAGGCAGCCGACCACGGUAGGGUCAGCGACUGGGGUGAAGUCGUAACAAGGUACCC